rnacentral:tRNA from 1 species
GCCAGUGUGGCUCAGUGGAUAGAGCGUUGGCCUGUGGACUGAAGGGUCCCAGGUUUGAUUCCUGGUCAGGGCA